rnacentral:rRNA from 1 species
GACGAACGCUGGCGGUGUGCUUAACACAUGCAAGUCGAACGGAAACGCCCUGCUUUUGUGGGCUUCUCGAGUGGCGAACGGGUGCGUAUCACGUGUGUAACCUGCUCUUGUCUUUCGGAUAACUUCAGGAAACUGGGGUUAAUCCCGUAUCGCAUCCCCUCUUGCAUGGUGGGGGUUGGAAAGUCUCGGCGGGUGGGGUUGGAUUCGCGGCUUACGAGCUUGUUGGUGGGGUAGUGGCUUACCAAGGCUUUGACGGAUAGCCGGCCUGAGAGGGUGACCGGCGACCAGGGGACUAAGAUACGGAGCAGACGGGUACGGGAGGCAGCAGGGGGGAAUCUUGCACAGUGGGAGGACGCCUGAGGAGGAAGCGCCGCGGGCGGGAAGACCGCCUGCGGGUUGAAAACCGCUGUAGCCUGAGACGAAGCGGGAGUGACGGUAACGGGUAAAGAAGCACCGGCUAACUACGUG